rnacentral:tRNA from 1 species
GGUGGCUCAGUGGUAGAGUGCUUGCCUUGCAUGCAUGAGGCCCUGGGUUCACUUCCCCAGCACCA